GACGAACGCUGGCGGCGUGCUUAACACAUGCAAGUCGAACGGAAAGGCCCUGCUUGCAGGGUGCUCGAGUGGCGAACGGGUGAGUAACACGUGGGUGAUCUGCCCCUUACUUUGGGAUAAGCCUGGGAAACUGGGUCUAAUACUGGAUAGGACCAUGCUGUAGGUGGUGUGGUGGAAAGAUUUUUUCGGUAAGGGAUGAGCUCGCGGCCUAUCAGCUUGUUGGUGGGGUAAUGGCCUACCAAGGCGUCGACGGGUAGCCGGCCUGAGAGGGUGGACGGCGACAUUGGGACUGAGAUACGGCGCAGACUCCUACGGGAGGCAGCAGUGGGGAAUAUUGCACAAUGGGCGCAAGCCUGAUGCAGCGACGCCGCGUGGGGGAUGACGGCCUUCGGGUUGUAAGCUCCUUUCAGCCAUGACGAAGCCUCUUUUGGGGUGACGGUAGUGGUAGAAGAAGCACCGGCUAACUACGUG
rnacentral:rRNA from 1 species